rnacentral:rRNA from 1 species
AUUCUGGUUGAUCCUGCCAGUAGUCAUAUGCUUGUCUCAAAGAUUAAGCCAUGCAUGUCUAAGUAUAAGCAAUUAUACAGCGAAACUGCGAAUGGCUCAUUAUAUAAGUUAUCGUUUAUUUGAUAGUGCCUUACUACUUGGAUAACCGUGGUAAUUCUAGAGCUAAUACAUGCUAAAAACCCCGACUUCGGAAGGGGUGUAUUUAUUAGAUACAAAACCAAUGCCCUUCGGGGCUCUUUGGUGAUUCAUGAUAACUAUACGAAUCGCACGGCCUUGCGCCGGCGAUGGUUCAUUCAAAUUUCUUCCCUAUCAACUUUCGAUGUUUGGGUAUUGGCCAAACAUGGUUGCAACGGGUAACGGAGGGUUAGGGCUCGACCCCGGAGAAGGAGCCUGAGAAACGGCUACUACAUCCAAGGAAGGCAGCAGGCGCGCAAAUUACCCAAUCCCGACUCGGGGAGGUAGUGACAAUAAAUACUAAUACAGGGCCCUUUCGGGCCUUGUAAUUGGAAUGAGUACAAUUUAAAUCCCUUAACGAGGAACAAUUGGAGGGCAAGUCUGGU